UUUCCUGAGGAUGGUCGGCAGGGCCCGGCCGAAACGUCGAUUUUGUAUAUUCACGUUUUUCAACUAUUAAAUUCUUCUUCUUCCUGACCGGAACUUCGACGAACCUUUCAUUUUCAAUCUACCUCCCGGUCACAAACUUCUUUCCUAAACACAAUGCAUCGAAACGGCUUCGUGGACGUCUCGUACCACCGUCAUCCUACGUCAUACCGAACUUCAAAUCACUCACAAACCAAGAAGAUCUGGAACUACCGGCAAAAACUAGCACGCAUCAAAAACCAUUUUAUUUCCUGAGGAUGGUCGGCAGGGCCCGGCCGAAACGUCGAUUUUGUAUAUUCACGUUUUUCAACUAUUAAAUUCUUCUUCUUCCUGACCGGAACUUCGACGAACCUUUCAUUUUCAAUCUACCUCCCGGUCACAAACUUCUUUCCUAAACACAAUGCAUCGAAACGGCUUCGUGGACGUCUCGUACCACCGUCAUCCUACGUCAUACCGAACUUCAAAUCACUCACAAACCAAGAAGAUCUGGAACUACCGGCAAAAACUAGCACGCAUCAAAAACCAUUUUAUUUCCUGAGGAUGGUCGGCAGGGCCCGGCCGAAACGUCGAUUUUGUAUAUUCACGUUUUUCAACUAUUAAAUUCUUCUUCUUCCUGACCGGAACUUCGACGAACCUUUCAUUUUCAAUCUACCUCCCGGUCACAAACUUCUUUCCUAAACACAAUGCAUCGAAACGGCUUCGUGGACGUCUCGUACCACCGUCAUCCUACGUCAUACCGAACUUCAAAUCACUCACAAACCAAGAAGAUCUGGAACUACCGGCAAAAACUAGCACGCAUCAAAAACCAUUUUAUUUCCUGAGGAUGGUCGGCAGGGCCCGGCCGAAACGUCGAUUUUG